rnacentral:rRNA from 1 species
UACGUAGGUGUCGAGCGUUGUCCGGAUUUAUUGGGCGUAAAGCGCCCGCAGGCGGCUUGGCAAGUUCGAGGUGAAAUCUCCCGGCUCAACUGGGAGGGUGCCUCGGAAACUGCCAGGCUUGAGGCAGGGAGAGGGAUGUGGAAUUCCCGGUGUAGUGGUGAAAUGCGCAGAUAUCAGGAGGAACACCGGUGGCGAAGGCGGGUCUCUGGGCCGAUACUGACACUGAGGAGCGAAAGCGUGGGGAGCGAACAGG